AGCACAGGGACACAUAGAGAUAUCCGAACCCGGGCGUUGGUUGACCCGGGCGCAAGGGACCGAACAUCAGUAGGGAAGUCGGAGAUGCUCUGUGGCGAAAAAAGCUGUGUGUAUUGAUUAGGCGCCCGUACCGCAAACCGACACAGGUAGAUGAGGAGAGAAUCCUAAGGCCAACGGGAGAAGGGUUGUUAAGGAACUCGGCAAAUUGACCCCGUAACUUCGGGAUAAGGGGAGCCUCCUACGGGAGGCCGCAGUGAAUAGGCCCAAGCAACUGUUUACCAAAAACACAGGUCUCUGCUAAAUCGAAAGAUGACGUAUAGGGGCUGACGCCUGCCCGGUGCCGGAAGGUUAAGAGGAGAGCUUAGCGCAAGCGAAGGUUCGAAUUGAAGCCCCGGUAAACGGCGGCCGUAACUAUAACGGUCCUAAGGUAGCGAAAUUCCUUGUCAGGUAAGUUCUGACCCGCACGAAUGGCGUAAUGAUUUGGGCACUGUCUCAACAGCCCGCCCGGCGAAAUUGUAGUACUGGUGAAGAUGCCAGUUACCCGCAACUAGACGGAAAGACCCCAUGGAGCUUUACUGUAGCCUAAUACUGAAGAUCGGUAAUGCAUGUACAGGAUAGGUGGGAGCCAGCGAAACCCGGGCGUCAGCUCGGAUGGAGGCAACCUUGGAAUACCACCCUUGUAUUGCUGGUUUUCUAACCUGCGGCCAUGAAUCUGGUCGGGGGACACUGUUAGGUGGGCAGUUUGACUGGGGCGGUCGCCUCCAAAAGCGUAACGGAGGCGCUCAAAGGUUGGCUCAGCACGGACGGAAAUCGUGCAUAGAGUGCAAACGCAUAAGCCAACUUGACUGCGAGACCGACGGGUCGAGCAGGUACGAAAGUAGGAGUAAGUGAUCCGGUGGUAUGUGAGUGGAAAUGCCAUCGCUCAACGGAUAAAAGCUACCCUGGGGAUAACAGGCUGAUCUCCCCCAAGCGUCCACAGCGACGGGGAGGUUUGGCACCUCGAUGUCGGCUCGUCACAUCCUGGGGCUGUAUUCGGUCCCAAGGGUUCGGCUGUUCGCCGAUUAAAGUGGCACGCGAGCUGGGUUCAGAACGUCGUGAGACAGUUCGGUCCCUAUCUGUUGCGGGCGCAGGAGAUUUGAAGGGAGCUGUCCUUAGUACGAGAGGACCGGGAUGGACAGACCUCUGGUGCACCAGUUGUCGUGCCAACGGCACAGCUGGGUAGCUACGUCUGGACGAGAUAAACGCUGAAAGCAUCUAAGUGUGAAACUCCCCCUAAGAUAAGAUCUCCCAUCCAUUAGGAGUAAGGGACGACAGAGACUAUGUCGUUGAUAGGUCGGAAGUGUAAGUGCAGUAAUGCAUUGAGCUGACCGAUACUAAUAACCCGAGGGCUUGACCU
rnacentral:rRNA from 1 species